rnacentral:rRNA from 1 species
AGAGUUUGAUCCUGGCUCAGGAUGAACGCUGGCGGCGUGCUUAACACAUGCAAGUCGAACGCUGAAGCUCCCAGCUUGCUGGGGGUGGAUGAGUGGCGAACGGGUGAGUAUCACGUGAGUAACCUGCCCUUGACUCUGGGAUAAGCCCGGGAAACUGGGUCUAAUACUGGAUAGGACUGGCCAUCGCAUGGUGGUUGGUUGAAAGCUUUUGCGGUUUUGGAUGGACUCGCGGCCUAUCAGCUUGUUGGUGGGGUAAUGGCCUACCAAGGCUUUGACGGGUAGCCGGCCUGAGAGGGUGACCGGCCACACUGGGACUGAGACACGGCCCAGACUCCUACGGGAGGCAGCAGUGGGGGAUAUUGCACAAUGGGCGCAAGCCUGAUGCAGCGACGCCGCGUGAGGGAUGACGGCCUUCGGGUUGUAAACCUCUUUCAGUUGGGAAGAAGCCUUUCGGGGUGACGGUACCUUCAGAAGAAGCACCGGCUAACUACGUGCCAGCAGCCGCGGUAAUACGUAGGGUGCGAGCGUUAUCCGGAAUUAUUGGGCGUAAAGAGCUCGUAGGCGGUUUGUCACGUCUGCUGUGAAAGCUCGGGGCUUAACUCCGAGUGUGCAGUGGGUACGGGCAGGCUGGAGUGCAGUAGGGGAGACUGGAAUUCCUGGUGUA